rnacentral:rRNA from 1 species
AAUAUUGCACAAUGGAGGAAACUCUGAUGCAGCGACGCCGCGUGAACGAUGAAGGCUUUCGGGUCGUAAAGUUCUGUCCUAGGGGACGAUAAUGACGGUACCCUAGGAGGAAGCGCCGGCUAACUACGUGCCAGCAGCCGCGGUAAUACGUAGGGGGCGAGCGUUGUCCGGAUUUAUUGGGCGUAAAGGGUUCGCAGGCGGUCUCUUAAGUUAGAUGUGAAAGAUCAAGGCUCAACCGUGGUAAGCAUUUAAAACUGGGAGACUUGAGUUAAGGAGAGGAAAGUGGAAUUCCUAGUGUAGCGGUGAAAUGCGUAGAUAUUAGGAGGAAUACCAGUGGCGAAGGCGACUUUCUGGACUUAUACUGACGCUGAGGAACGAAAGCGUGGGGAGCAAAC